GAAUUCGCCCUUAGAGUUUGAUCCUGGCUCAGGAUGAACGCUGGCGGCGUGCCUAACACAUGCAAGUCGAACGGACUUUUCAUGAAGCCUAGCGAUUGAAAAGUUAGUGGCGGACGGGUGAGUAACGCGUGGGUAACCUGCCUUGUACUGGGGGACAACAGUUGGAAACGACUGCUAAUACCGCAUAAGCGCACAGCUUCGCAUGAAGCAGUGUGAAAAACUCCGGUGGUACAAGAUGGACCCGCGUCUGAUUAGCUGGUUGGUGAGGUAACGGCCCACCAAGGCGACGAUCGGUAGCCGGACUGAGAGGUUGAACGGCCACAUUGGGACUGAGACACGGCCCAGACUCCUACGGGAGGCAGCAGUGGGGAAUAUUGCACAAUGGGGGAAACCCUGAUGCAGCGACGCCGCGUGGAGGAAGAAGGUCUUCGGAUUGUAAACUCCUGUUGUUGAGGAAGAUAAUGACGGUACUCAACAAGGAAGUGACGGCUAACUACGUGCCAGCAGCCGCGGUAAAACGUAGGUCACAAGCGUUGUCCGGAAUUACUGGGUGUAAAGGGAGCGCAGGCGGGAGAACAAGUUGGAAGUGAAAUCCAUGGGCUCAACCCAUGAACUGCUUUCAAAACUGUUUUUCUUGAGUAGUGCAGAGGUAGGCGGAAUUCCCGGUGUAGCGGUGGAAUGCGUAGAUAUCGGGAGGAACACCAGUGGCGAAGGCGGCCUACUGGGCACCAACUGACGCUGAGGCUCGAAAGUGUGGGUAGCAAACAGGAUUAGAUACCCUGGUAGUCCACACCGUAAACGAUGAUUACUAGGUGUUGGAGGA
rnacentral:rRNA from 1 species